rnacentral:rRNA from 1 species
UACGUAGGGUGCGAGCGUUAAUCGGAAUUACUGGGCGUAAAGCGUGCGCAGGCGGCUUUGCAAGACAGAUGUGAAAUCCCCGGGCUUAACCUGGGAACUGCAUUUGUGACUGCAUGGCUGGAGUGCGGCAGAGGGGGAUGGAAUUCCGCGUGUAGCAGUGAAAUGCGUAGAUAUGCGGAGGAACACCGAUGGCGAAGGCAGUCCCCUGGGCCUGCACUGACGCUCAUGCACGAAAGCGUGGGGAGCAAACAGG